CCUACGGGCGGCAGCAGUGAGGAAUAUUGGUCAAUGGGCGGGAGCCUGAACCAGCCAAGUCGCGUGAGGGAAGACGGUCCUAUGGAUUGUAAACCUCUUUAGGCGGGGAGCAAUGCCGGGCACGCGUGCCCGGAGGGAGAGUACCCGCAGAAUAAGCAUCGGCUAACUCCGUGCCAGAAGCCGCGGUAAUACGGAGGAUGCGAUCGUUAUCCGGAUUUAUUGGGGUUAAAGGGUGCGUAGGCGGAUUUUUAAGUCAGCGGUAAAAUGUCCGGGCUCAACCCGGGCCGGCCGUUGAAACUGGGGAGCUUGAGUGGGCGAGAAGUAUGCGGAAUGCGUGGUGUAGCGGUGAAAUGCAUAGAUAGCACGCAGAACUCCGAUUGCGAAGGCAGCAUACCGGCGCCCGACUGACGCUGAGGCACGAAAGCGUGGGGAUCGAACAGGAUUAGAUACCCUUGUAGUC
rnacentral:rRNA from 1 species